GGGGAAUCUUGCGCAAUGGGCGAAAGCCUGACGCAGCCAUGCCGCGUGAAUGAUGAAGGUCUUAGGAUUGUAAAGUUCUUUCGCUCGUGACGAUGAUGACGGUAACGAGAGAAGAAGCCCCGGCUAACUUCGUGCCAGCAGCCGCGGUAAUACGAAGGGGGCUAGCGUUGUUCGGAAUUACUGGGCGUAAAGCGCGCGUAGGCGGUUUUGCAAGCCAGAGGUGAAAUGCCUGAGCUCAACUUAGGAAUUGCCUUUGGGACUGCGAGGCUUUGAGGACUGGAGAGGUGAGUGGAAUUCCCAGUGUAGAGGUGAAAUUCGUAGAUAUUGGGAAGAACACCAGUGGCGAAGGCGGCUCACUGGCCAGUUUCUGACGCUGCAGCGCGAAAGCGUGGGGAUCAAAC
rnacentral:rRNA from 1 species